UGUCAUUCAUUUGACAAGACGCUCUGAAUCAUCCUCUUGGAGACUAAGGUUUGUAGAUCAGAUUUGGAACCGCUAAUCCGACGCCAUACCAGUGCACCUCUGCGGAGGAAGCCAGUAUGAGUCCUUUGCUCUCCGCCUCUUUUGGUUGUGGCCGUCACAGGGUUUGCUGCCUCGUACUCGGCACGCUUUCCCUUUCAUCUGAUAGUAACAGAGUUUCCCAUGGAUAUCCCUCUCAAUGUCCUCCGCGAGUCGGACUCUGGACGUUCUGUCCCAAUAAUCACAUGGGAGCACCCUCGAGUUGGUGAGUUGGUGUUGCACAUGCUGAUCAACACUUGCAAGAGCGAAAGGAUCAUACCUAACCCGGAGGUUGCUGGAUAUUGUGAAACUUUGGCGAAAUGUGGUCGAUCGAAACCCUGACCAUCAUGAUUUCCGUCCAGAGAUGCUACCCGUUUCAGCACGUCAAUAUUUUUAUUCUGUGUUUUCUGUUUUUGGAGAAAGUAGCAUAGUUCUUCGAGCCCGAGGAGCGGGGACAGUUCCGCGUCGUCAUCAUCAUGCCGGUCCCGGUCCUGAUACUCAAUGUAUACAGGGUGUGUGCAGAAAGACGUGACCCGCAUUUUUACAUGUAACUCGUUGCCUACUUACACGAGGAACUUCCGGUGGCGUACGAUGGCGUAUUUAUGCGUGCGAAAGCUACAAAAAACAAACAAACCUGGAAGCCAUACUGAGCGUGAAAAAAAAAAAAUAAACAGAGCGCGAAAACAUCGGCUUCCAUGCAUUAGAAUGGGGCGGCCAUGAGAGUGCAUGGUAGUGCAUGGCGGUCUCAGGAGAGUUACGUGCAGGCACCGCCAGGGGUACUACCAUGUGGGACAUCGUUUCGAUUUCUGCACCGAUAGCUCCCCUAGCGGUACUUGAACACAACUCUACUGCGUCCGCCAUGUUGCCCUAUUCUGAUGCACGGAGGCCGAAGUUUUCGUUGCUCUGUCUAUUUUUUUAAGCUGAGUAUGGCUUCCACGAUUUUUCUGCACAUUUCGCACGCAUAAAUGCACCAUCGUGCGCCAGCGGAACGUUCGUUAGUUCGGUAGACAACAAGCUAUGUGCCUAAAUGCGGAUCACGUUUUUCUGCACACACCCUGUACUACGCUGCCUUCUUCAGAUAUACACACCAACUCGCUUGCUUACUGUUUCUUUGUUCGCCUUCUGUUUUUUCGUGAUAUGUCCAAGAGCACUGCAUAAAAUGAUCUGUAUGGACUACUGUGGCAUGAACACAAAGCUACACAUGCUGCACAUUAUCACUUUCCGGGUGCCCCUAACACAACUAGAUAUGCAUUGUAAGGCAGGCUCAUGUAAUCACUGCUCAGCGGAACGUGCUGUUCGUGGAAUAUAACGCUUCGCCACUUUCGUACCGGGUCGUCAUUCCAGGUGAAAAGAAGGGAGUGGACUAAAGAAAACACCAUUCGACGGAAUAUGUACCUUGAGCCAACAGGCCAAUAUUUUGCGUCGCAUAUGUGCCGAGCAACGCACGGGGGGGGGGGGGGGUGUACACGAAAUCCACCAUUAAGAAUAAGCCGCUUACGAAUACAGCAUUAAAGAUAAAACCGCUUAAAAAUACACGGUUUAAAAUUAAUCUGCUCCAACGGGUCUCUCCAAAUCGGGUCAAUUCCAAAGAUGAACUGCUUAAAACGCCCACUUAAAGAUCACCGGUUAAUAAUCCACCAUUAAAAAGAAACUGUUUCAAAAUCCCCGUUCAUCUAGCACGGAAGGGGACUGUUUCUCUUCGGUGUCGGGUUAUAUCGAAUGUUGUUAGGUAUAUUAGGUUAGGUUGGGUUGGGUACCGGUUGACACCAGACUAAUGUAAACUGGCAACGCAAGUUAGACCAACUGAUACCACUUUGCGUCUAACUGGAAUGAACCAGGGCUAUGAGUAUGACCGGUUGGAAUCAAAAUGGGACUGGGCCAAAGCGAAGCAGAAUAAACUGGCAGUUGAAGUGGAAGCAGCUUUGCCCAAGUGGUAACCGUAGUGGAUCCAGCUAGUUCCACUGCUGCUAUAACCGGCAUAAACUUUGUGUUUUGUCAGUGACCAGUUGCAGUCAAUAUUGAACUAGUUCAAGGUGAAGCGGAAUGAACUGGGAAUCGAAGUGGGAUAAGUCGUGGCCAAGUGCUUGCGAUGGUGGAUUCAGCUGAUGCCCCGUCUUGUCUAUCUAGCACGUUAGACCAUCCGUUCGUGCCAAAACCGCGCUGGUUCGAGUCGGAGUUGAAGGAACUGGAAAGUCAAGUAGCUUCCAACUCGUGGACCACUUCAGUCAGGGUAGCCACAUUUCUCCACGAAAAAAUAUGGGUUCAGGGAGAGAUGAGGUGAAAGGAGGGGGAGAGCGAAGCUUGGCAAGGGAAAUAAUAGGUGUUCAUCCAAGAUGAUGUGCUAAAAUUUGUUGUUACAUUUUUGUCCGAGAUAAAAUCAGUUGCUAGUUGAACGGUUCCGCGUUCUCAAUCAGGUCCAGUCGCAACCGACACGCUCUACACAAUCUCGCACUUGUAGUAUAUAUUCGGUUAGCAUAUCGUUCAAUACAUGCGUGCUCUGGAAUAUGCAUAAUCUGUCAGCUUGCAGUUGUCUCGCAACGUAAAGCCGCGGGUUAUUAUUAUUGUGUCAGUUCCUCUACCACGUUCAAUGAAAGAUGUACUAUAGGUAGGGUUGCGCGUUCUCGAUUCUAAUCGAAAAACACCGAAUACAGAGGGACAUUCCAGGAACUAUGACAGAGAUAAAUUGCUGCACAUGCCCAGCAAGUUGUUGGUGCAGAUCAGAAAACCAUACAGUAAUACGAUGGCUGUGGAAAAUGUCCGUUUCCUUUUUCUACUUUUUCUACUACUUCUACUUGAUGUCACAAAGCUUCGUAUUCGUAUUGGUUGUUGUCAUUCGUAAGGCUGCGUUAUACGCACAGCACUGAAAUUACAUUGUGAUCUCUAUUCGCCGAUAAAUGUCGGGUAAACCACGUACACACCAGAAAAAAAAAAGAACAUCGGAAAACACUGAUGUCGUGAAAAUCAAUAAACACCGAAAAACAUACGCCGAAUCCGCCCAAAAAUAAAAACCGAAAACGAGGAACCUUAACUAUAGGUCCAGUCCCUUUCCAUUUGAAAGAACAACAAAUACGGAAAGUCACGGCUACCCUAAUUAUUUUCUUUAAAUACUUCACAAAUGAAUGCAUUACAUGGGACGGACGUCGAAAUAAGUCGUUAAAAAUAAGGCGUUAAAAAUUCCACGCUUCGAAAUACACUCCUCAAAAUCCACCUUCUGGGAUAAAUCGCUGAAAAAGCCACGCACUCAAAAUAAACACUGCCAAAAUAACUCAUAGUUAGGCUUCGGGAUUAAUAAAGCAUUAAAAAUUCCCCGCUUCAAAAGACAGUCGUAAAAAUGCUCCGUUUGGAAUAAAUCGCUGAUAAAUAAACGCCCUCAAAAUGAACACUGCCAGGAUAAAUCAGAGUUAGGGAGGGAGUGUUCUGAAGAAGCAAAAUAUAUGUAACGCAAUAUAAGAAUCGAGCAUUGAAAGACAUGCCGGAGAACAUAACGGGUGAUAGAUCGAGCAAGGUAUUUGUAGUCACUGACUUCCUGUACGUAUUGGGUGUGUCCCGGACGCUCUUCGUUCCUUACGUUAUUAACCGGUUGCAUCACCUCUUUCUAUCUCAGAUUUGAUCCAACCGUAUGUCCUCAUCCGGACGUUGUGCGCGCGUCUACGAAGAGCGGGAAAAGAAACGAGCGAUAAUUACCAGAAACUAUGCAUAGAUGGACCGUUUAACUUUUCGACAGAACUGAAAUGAAUAAACAAUUGAAAUAACGAAUAUAUGACAUAAGUGAAACAAUAAAGAAUGCAAAAAAAAAGA